rnacentral:rRNA from 1 species
GGGCCCGCACAAGCGGUGGAGUAUGUGGUUUAAUUCGAUGCAACGCGAAGAACCUUACCAGGGUUUGACAUCCUGCGAAUCUCUUGGAAACGAGAGAGUGCCUUCGGGAACGCAGUGACAGGUGGUGCAUGGCUGUCGUCAGCUCGUGUCGUGAGAUGUUGGGUUAAGUCCCGCAACGAGCGCAACCCACGUCUUUAGUUGCCAGCAUUUAGUUGGGCACUCUAGAGAGACUGCCGGUGAUAAACCGGAGGAAGGUGUGGAUGACGUCAAGUCAUCAUGCCCCUUACAUCCUGGGCUACACACGUACUACAAUGCUACGGACAAAGGGCAGCAAACUCGCGAGAGCUAGCAAA